GAUGAACGCUGGCGGCGUGCCUAAUACAUGCAAGUCGAGCGAAUGGAUUAAGAGCUUGCUCUUAUGAAGUUAGCGGCGGACGGGUGAGUAACACGUGGGUAACCUGCCCAUAAGACUGGGAUAACUCCGGGAAACCGGGGCUAAUACCGGAUAACAUUUUGAACCGCAUGGUUCGAAAUUGAAAGGCGGCUUCGGCUGUCACUUAUGGAUGGACCCGCGUCGCAUUAGCUAGUUCGUGAGGUAACGGCUCACCAAGGCAACGAUGCGUAGCCGACCUGAGAGGGUGAUCGGCCACACUGGGACUGAGACACGGCCCAGACUCCUACGGGAGGCAGCAGUAGGGAAUCUUCCGCAAUGGACGAAAGUCUGACGGAGCAGCGCCGCGUGAGUGAUGAAGGCUUUCGGGUCGUAAAACUCUGUUGUUAGGGAAGAACAAGUGCUAGUUGAAUAAGCUGGCACCUUGACGGUACCUAACCAGAAAGCCACGGCUAACUACGUGCCAGCCGCCGCUGUAA
rnacentral:rRNA from 1 species